rnacentral:rRNA from 1 species
UACGUAGGUGGCAAGCGUUGUCCGGAUUUACUGGGCGUAAAGAGCUCGUAGGCGGUUUGUCGCGUCGGCCGUGAAAACUUGGGGCUUAACUCCAAGCUUGCGGUCGAUACGGGCAGACUUGAGUUCGGCAGGGGAGACUGGAAUUCCUGGUGUAGCGGUGAAAUGCGCAGAUAUCAGGAGGAACACCGAUGGCGAAGGCAGGUCUCUGGGCCGAUACUGACGCUGAGGAGCGAAAGCGUGGGGAGCGAACAGG